GAGAGUGAGAAGUGAUGACGGUGAUCGUUGUCGCCGCGUCUUCUGUGGAACCCAAGCAGUGCCGAAGGAAGUCGCAAGGCUCUUCCCCGACCUUUUGCUCCUCUCCCUGCGCGAGGGUACAUUUAUGUGUGGCAGAGGCUGAAAAUUUUAGAAUCACAUCUCCCAGCUUUCUUGCAGUUAUGGCUAAUACAAGUCACUCAACUGAAGCUUAACAGUAUUCCACUGUGGUUGUCUUCUACCACUGGGCAAUUGUGUUGCUCCUGGUCUCUUGCUAUUGCAUAAAGUGUGCUCAUAGCUUUCAAGCACAAAAGAGAAAACUGAAUUAAAUCUACUCGGAUCCUCCACCCAUCCAUGUUUCUAUAGUUCACUCACUUGCUGGAACUUUGCCCUCUUCUACUUUAUGGUUAUUCUACUUUGCAUAAGGAAUAUGGCAAGAAGAACUCAGCUGUUCUAUUCAGAGCUGAAGAUCAACACUGCUGAAGCUCUGUCUGCUCUUGCUGUCUCACAAGGACCGGAAGAGGAUGAAACACCAGUCAGUACCGGGGGAAUUGCAACGGAAAAAUAUUUUUCCAUUUCGGUCAAGUCGCCAUCGGGAAAUCAUUCAGACUCAAUAUUGAGACUGAUACAGGGCGAUGCUGAGAUCCAAAGUCCAGGUCUCUGCUGCAGCAGUACUCUGAUACACUGAACUCUGAUACAGCACUACUCUGAUACACUGAACUCUGAUACAGCAUACUCUGAUACACUGAACUCUGAUACAGCAGUACUCUGAUACACUGAACUCUGAUACAGCAGUACUCGGAUACACUGAACUCUGAUACAGCAGUACUCGGAUACACUGAACUCUGAUACAGCAGUACUCGGAUACACUGAACUCUGAUACAGCAGUACUCUGAUACACUGAACUCUGAUACAGCAGUACUCUGAUACACUGAACUCUGAUACAGCAGUACUCGGAUACACUGAACUCUGAUACAGCAGUACUCGGAUACACUGAACUCUGAUACAGCAGUACUCGGAUACACUGAACUCUGAUACAGCAGUACUCGGAUACACUGAACUCUGAUACAGCAGUACUCGGAUACACUGAACUCUGAUACAGCAGUACUCGGAUACACUGAACUCUGAUACAGCAGUACUCGGAUACACUGAACUCUGAUACAGCAGUACUCUGAUACACUGAACUCUGAUACAGUUCUUCAGUACAGAGCCAUCUCUAGCCUCUCUGACUUGGUUGUCUGUGUCUGCAGGACCUCAGAUUGUACCUGCCCCCCAGCCUUGAGCAGCCCACCUAGAGGGUGGAGUCUUCUGACCUUGGUGGAGUCUAUUGUAUGCCGCAUCUGCAGCUUCCUGUAAGAAGCCACUACUUGCUGAGCAGCUGAGUUUUCCUUCCAGAUGAGAUUCUGGCAAAGUAGGGGAUAGGCUCCCCACCCCCGCCCUUUAAAUUCAGACCUUAGAAUUAAAACAUUGAGCCUUGAUC
rnacentral:lncRNA from 1 species